rnacentral:rRNA from 1 species
GCAGUCGAGGGGUAUUGGUUUUCGGACCAAGAGACCGGCGCACGGGUGCGUAACGCGUAUGCAAUCUACCUUUUACAGAGGGAUAGCCCAGAGAAAUUUGGAUUAAUACCUCAUAGCAUAGCAGCUUCGCAUGAAGCCACUAUUAAAGUCACAACGGUAAAAGAUGAGCAUGCGUCCCAUUAGCUAGUUGGUAAGGUAACGGCUUACCAAGGCUACGAUGGGUAGGGGUCCUGAGAGGGAGAUCCCCCACACUGGUACUGAGACACGGACCAGACUCCUACGGGAGGCAGCAGUGAGGAAUAUUGGACAAUGGGCGCAAGCCUGAUCCAGCCAUGCCGCGUGCAGGAUGACGGUCCUAUGGAUUGUAAACUGCUUUUAUACAGGAAGAAACACUCCGACGUGUCGGAGCUUGACGGUACUGUAAGAAUAAGGAUCGGCUAACUCCGUGCCAGCAGCCGCGGUAAUACGGAGGAUCCAAGCGUUAUCCGGAAUCAUUGGGUUUAAAGGGUCCGUAGGCGGUUUAAUAAGUCAGUGGUGAAAGCCCAUCGCUCAACGGUGGAACGGCCAUUGAUACUGUUAGACUUGAAUUAUUAGGAAGUAACUAGAAUAUGUAGUGUAGCGGUGAAAUGCUUAGAGAUUACAUGGAAUACCAAUUGCGAAGGCAGGUUACUACUAAUGGAUUGACGCUGAUGGACGAAAGCGUGGGUAGCGAACAGGAUUAGAUACCCUGGUAGUCCACGCCGUAAACGAUGGAUACUAGCUGUUGGAAGCAAUUUCAGUGGCUAAGCGAAAGUGAUAAGUAUCCCACCUGGGGAGUACGUUCGCAAGAAUGAAACUCAAAGGAAUUGACGGGGGCCCGCACAAGCGGUGGAGCAUGUGGUUUAAUUCGAUGAUACGCGAGGAACCUUUACCAAGGC